rnacentral:lncRNA from 1 species
UAAAUGUAAAACAGGUACCAAUGUUUUUACUGCCAAAAAGGAAUAAAAUAUUCCUAACAAAGUUCGGUUGUUGCCUUAAUAUAUUUUUAAAAUGUAUUUUCAUUAACAUUUCAGUUGUUAAAAUGCAAUGCUUUACACAACCUUCAAAGUGCAACUGAUAAAAACUUGAAAUCUAUGUAAUAUACUUCAAAACAAAGCCACUGGCAGAUUUUUUCCCCACCAUUUCAGUCUGUGCACCAAUCUUCAAAUGUAUGAACGUACAGGUCUUAGUGCAAAAUGCAAGUCACUGUUUAAAAAAAGAAAACUUAAUAAACACAUUAUUUUAAAGGUCAUCCUAAGUGAUUUAGAUUUCUUCACUUGAACCUGGUUGCUCUAACAAUCUACAGAUCCCACUGUACAAAAUGACUUAAUAAAUGCUUUUCUUCCAGAGUAAGUCAUUAAGCAAAAAGCACAAAUAAGUGAAAUGAAAAUUUUCCAAGUAAUGGAGGAGUUAAAUUAACCAGAAAUAUGGCAAUUUGUUUUCAUGUAGUAAAACAUAAGAGGGAGCAUUUAUGAAAGCUGGAGGGGGGUGGAGGGGCACAAUUUAGAUAACGUUACAUAAGCAUCAAUAAAAAAAAGUAUGAGUUCGUUGUUAAGCUAUUGGAUGAUAGUUUUGAGCUCAGACCUUUAAAAUGUUACAACAUUUAAGUCAUGUUACUACACAUAAAUCAUCUUCACAGGACACAGAACACAGCUAAUUUAAGUUUAAUGCUCUCAUCUUCGCCAAUCUCAGAAUAUCGAGUUCCUUACCAUGAUUGUUCGUUAGCUGUAUCUUGGAAUACAACUAAGUUAAUUUUCCUAAAACUACCAUCAGCAAAACCAGUUCACUAAUGUGUUUUAAAGACGUUACCAAAGGACGUAUUAAAAUAGUUAUUUCUGGGUUGAGGGGGGUGUUUUGGUUUAAAGACCAGCAAACUUCAAAAGAAAACGAUGCUAGCUGGCAGGGGUACGUUACGGGUUUUGUCGGGGGCGGGGAGGGGGUGGAGGGAAGCCCAGAUUUGGGAAGGAAAGCUCGUUUCACAAGAGAUCCCAUCUCUCGUUUCAAAAGGUCAUUUCCAUUCAGCAGAUCCUCUUUCCCUAUUUCAGAGCUCACCACUGUAUUCUAAACAGAAGCCAAUAGAGGGAGAAAAACAAAGCCAAGUGCAAAAGCUGUGGGCACUGAAAGUUUUGCUCCACCGGCCGCGCAGCACCCACUUGGGGUCGGGCUUUGGGACUUGGGGGAGUCAGGAGCAGGCGGGGGCUGGGGAGAGGACGAGGCCCUGGGGAGGGGCUGGAAAAGGCUUUUCACAGCGACUGGCACUUGAUAUUUCCAAGUCUUCUGGAUGUCACUCACCGGAAACCAGACCCUGCGGUGCGAAGACUCAGGACUCUGUGAUGUGGUGAGCUGGCCUUAUUCACCUUCUCCAUACCUUUCGAGGAUUUGGAUGCGUCUCUUGCACCUAUCUUAGCCGUCUUUCUUCCAUCCUGAAGAGACAUGCAUCUCUGUGGUGGCUCCUCCCUCCCCAAGGUCAUCGUGGCUGACUUGGGACCUUUCCCAGCUCUGUGUGUCUGUCUUGAAACACAGUUUAUCUUCUCUCCAUUGGUGCAUCCCAUAAGUGGCAAAGGCAAAAGCUGGACUGCAUUGUGUGGCCCCAGGGAGCUGCAGACAGAGGAACUGAGUCCUGGCCACUGUGCCUGCUGUCUCUUACAAGUUUAGAGAUGCUGGCAUUGCAUCGAAAUCGGACAACACUCCCUUCCCUCCCUUCCCAGGUACUCCAUUCCCAACCUUUUCCACCAACAGGUCCUUAUUCUCAGAAGCCAAAAAUAAUUUAUUGGUUUCCACUGUUCUCCUUGGCUGAAUCUUCAAGUACACCAACUCCCCCCUCUUCUGGACAGACUCUCCAUAAUUCAGCCAGCAUCUAAUCAGCACCUUGCUUCUCUUCCAUUCUUCCUUUCUCCAGAGUCAUGAUUCUUCCUUCUCAAGUCAAAGAGGAAUUACAAGCAAAUAGACACUAUCCUUGAAUGCAGUUUGGGUUACACAGAAUGGGGAAUGAACUCAAUCUCAUUUUUGCUUCUUUGUUGAAAUAAGCUCAGUAUCUCCCUUGCACAGAGAUUGAAUCGGCUUCACUAAGGCAAGCAGCAUUUCCUCUUUUCUCCCAGUCAGCAUCGCAGCUCUCUGCAUUCCCCUCUCGCAGAGGUGACUAUUCAUUGUGUUCUUUCCAGGAAUGUUUUCUGAGCUUCAGGAGGCCCUGAGUUACCUGGAUAAUUAGUGCUGUCCUUUUGCACAAUGCAAAAACAAAACUAUUAUGAGAUAAUUUCUUUAGCUAAGUUGGGAAUGGGGUUUAAAUGCGUGGGCAAAUAGAUCUGGCAGUCAAAUUCAGACUGUCAUAUUUUGUGAUCCACCCUCCCACCGAUCAUAGCAUAUAAGACUCUGAUGAACUUCACCAGCAACAGGGAAUUCUCCCUCCACUGCAGAUAAAACAAUGACAAUAUGGAAGUGAAAAAUGAAUAAUUCAAAAAUGGAAUUCUCUGUGGGGCUCCGUGCAGUGUGUGUUUCUGUGUGUGCAUGUGUUUUAUACAAGUCUCUGUUACUUUUGUAGUUUGGAUUGGACUUCCGUCGGUCCAUUAAUUUUGUUACUGGAUCCCACCACUUACCCAAAAUUAGCCUUUGGGUUGGGUGUUUCUGCAGUAUAGUCCCUUCUGUGGACACCAGAAAGAUAUUACAGGAAAGGGGUCCUGAUCAAGACCCCCAGAGACGGUUCUUGGACCUGGUUGGGAGGCCGAGGAUCACUUGAGGUCAGGAGUUCGAGACCAGCCUGACCAACAUGG